rnacentral:lncRNA from 1 species
UGCAAUACCUGUCAUUGCAUGCUCACCUUCACUUAGGAUAUCAUCAUAGCGGAAAUACUCAAUUAAAACACAUCAAUUUAAAUCUCGUAAUAAAUUUCAUAUCAUAAUUAAAAAGCAUCGACUUGUAAGUCUUCUCCAAAUGUUUAUCACACCAAAACAUAAAAUGAGAGAGCAUACAUUGCCUCUCACAAAUCUCAACA